rnacentral:rRNA from 1 species
UACGGGGGGGGCAAGCGUUGUUCGGAAUUACUGGGCGUAAAGGGCUCGUAGGCGGCCAACUAAGUCAGACGUGAAAUCCCCAGGCUUAACCUGGGAACUGCGUCUGAUACUGGAUGGCUUGAAUUCGGGAGAGGGAUGCAGAAUUCCAGGUGUAGCGGUGAAAUGCGUAGAUAUCAGGAGGAACACCAGUGGCGAAGGCGCCGCUCUGGGCCGUGACUGACGCUGAAGAGCGAAAGCGUGGGUAGCAAACAGG